rnacentral:rRNA from 1 species
GAUGAACGCUGGCGGCGUGCCUAAUACAUGCAAGUCGAGCGAACAGAUGAGGAGCUUGCUCCUCUGACGUUAGCGGCGGACGGGUGAGUAACACGUGGAUAACCUACCUAUAAGACUGGGAUAACUUCGGGAAACCGGAGCUAAUACCGGAUAAUAUAUUGAACCGCAUGGUUCAAUAGUGAAAGACGGUUUUGCUGUCACUUAUAGAUGGAUCCGCGCCGCAUUAGCUAGUUGGUAAGGUAACGGCGUACCAAGGCAACGAUGCGUAGCCGACCUGAGAGGGUGAUCAGCCACACUGGAACUGAGACACGGUCCAGACUCCUACGGGAGGCAGCAGUAGGGAAUCUUCCGCAAUGGGCGAAAGCCUGACGGAGCAACGCCGCGUGAGUGAUGAAGGUCUUCGGAUCGUAAAACUCUGUUAUUAGGGAAGAACAAAUGUGUAAGUAACUAUGCACGUCUUGACGGUACCUAAUCAGAAAGCCACGGCUAACUACGUG